rnacentral:rRNA from 1 species
UAUAAUGCAAGUCGAGCGAAUGGAUUGAGAGCUUGCUCUCAAGAAGUUAGCGGCGGACGGGUGAGUAACACGUGGGUAACCUGCCCAUAAGACUGGGAUAACUCCGGGAAACCGGGGCUAAUACCGGAUAACAUUUUGAACUGCAUGGUUCGAAAUUGAAAGGCGGCUUCGGCUGUCACUUAUGGAUGGACCCGCGUCGCAUUAGCUAGUUGGUGAGGUAACGGCUCACCAAGGCAACGAUGCGUAGCCGACCUGAGAGGGUGAUCGGCCACACUGGGACUGAGACACGGCCCAGACUCCUACGGGAGGCAGCAGUAGGGAAUCUUCCGCAAUGGACGAAAGUCUGACGGAGCAACGCCGCGUGAGUGAUGAAGGCUUUCGGGUCGUAAAACUCUGUUGUUAGGGAAGAACAAGUGCUAGUUGAAUAAGCUGGCACCUUGACGGUACCUAACCAGAAAGCCACGGCUAACUACGUGCCAGCAGCCGCGGUAAUACGUAGGUGGCAAGCGUUAUCCGGAAUUAUUGGGCGUAAAGCGCGCGCAGGUGGUUUCUUAAGUCUGAUGUGAAAGCCCACGGCUCAACCGUGGAGGGUCAUUGGAAACUGGGAGACUUGAGUGCAGAAGAGGAAAGUGGAAUUCCAUGUGUAGCGGUGAAAUGCGUAGAGAUAUGGAGGAACACCAGUGGCGAAGGCGACUUUCUGGUCUGUAACUGACACUGAGG